CAGUAGCCGCGGUAAUACGUAGGGUGCGAGCGUUAAUCGGAAUUACUGGGCGUAAAGCGUGCGCAGGCGGUUUUGUAAGACAGAGGUGAAAUCCCCGGGCUCAACCUGGGAACUGCCUUUGUGACUGCAAGGCUAGAGUACGGCAGAGGGGGAUGGAAUUCCGCGUGUAGCAGUGAAAUGCGUAGAUAUGCGGAGGAACACCGAUGGCGAAGGCAAUCCCCUGGGCCUGUACUGACGCUCAUGCACGAAAGCGUGGGGAGCAAACAGGAUUAGAUACCCGUGUAGUCCCUGUCUCUUAUAA
rnacentral:rRNA from 1 species